UGGGGAAUAUUGCACAAUGGGCGCAAGCCUGAUGCAGCCAUGCCGCGUGUAUGAAGAAGGCCUUCGGGUUGUAAAGUACUUUCAGCGGGGAGGAAGGCGAUAAGGUUAAUAACCUUGUCGAUUGACGUUACCCGCAGAAGAAGCACCGGCUAACUCCGUGCCAGCAGCCGCGGUAAUACGGAGGGUGCAAGCGUUAAUCGGAAUUACUGGGCGUAAAGCGCACGCAGGCGGUCUGUCAAGUCGGAUGUGAAAUCCCCGGGCUCAACCUGGGAACUGCAUUCGAAACUGGCAGGCUAGAGUCUUGUAGAGGGGGGUAGAAUUCCAGGUGUAGCGGUGAAAUGCGUAGAGAUCUGGAGGAAUACCGGUGGCGAAGGCGGCCCCCUGGACAAAGACUGACGCACAGGUGCGAAAGCGUGGGGAGCAAACA
rnacentral:rRNA from 1 species